UAGGGAAUCUUCCACAAUGGGCGCAAGCCUGAUGGAGCAACACCGCGUGAGUGAAGAAGGGUUUCGGCUCGUAAAGCUCUGUUGUUAAAGAAGAACACGUAUGAGAGUAACUGUUCAUACGUUGACGGUAUUUAACCAGAAAGUCACGGCUAACUACGUGCCAGCAGCCGCGGUAAUACGUAGGUGGCAAGCGUUAUCCGGAUUUAUUGGGCGUAAAGAGAGUGCAGGCGGCUUUCUAAGUCUGAUGUGAAAGCCUUCGGCUUAACCGGAGAAGUGCAUCGGAAACUGGAUAACUUGAGUGCAGAAGAGGGUAGUGGAACUCCAUGUGUAGCGGUGGAAUGCGUAGAUAUAUGGAAGAACACCAGUGGCGAAGGCGGCUACCUGGUCUGCAACUGACGCUGAGACUCGAAAGCAUGGGUAGCGAACAGGAUUAGAUACCCUGGUAGUCCAUGCCGUAACGAUGAGUGCUAGGUGUUGGAGGGUUUCCGCCCUUCAGUGCCGGAGCUAACGCAUUANCACUCCGCCUGGGGAGUACGACCGCAAGGUU
rnacentral:rRNA from 1 species